UAGAGUUUGAUCCUGGCUCAGGAUGAACGCUAGCGACAGGCUUAACACAUGCAAGUCGAGGGGCAGCAUAAAAGUAGCAAUACUUUGGUGGCGACCGGCGCACGGGUGAGUAACGCGUAUGCAACCUACCUAUCAGAGGGGGAUAACCCGGCGAAAGUCGGACUAAUACCGCAUAAAACAGGGGCACCGCAUGGUGAUAUUUGUUAAAGAUUAAUUGCUGAUAGAUGGGCAUGCGUUCCAUUAGGUAGUUGGUGAGGUAACGGCUCACCAAGCCGACGAUGGAUAGGGGAACUGAGAGGUUGGUCCCCCACACUGGUACUGAGACACGGACCAGACUCCUACGGGAGGCAGCAGUGAGGAAUAUUGGUCAAUGGGCGAGAGCCUGAACCAGCCAAGUCGCGUGAAGGAAGAAGGAUCUAUGGUUCGUAAACUUCUUUUGCAGGGGAAUAAAGUGGAGGACGUGUCCUCUUUUGUAUGUACCCUGAGAAUAAGGAUCGGCUAACUCCGUGCCAGCAGCCGCGGUAAUA
rnacentral:rRNA from 1 species